rnacentral:rRNA from 1 species
CGGACGGGUGAGUAACGCGUGGGUAACCUGCCUCACACUGGGGGAGUAACAGCUAGAAAUAGCUGCUAAUACCGCAUAAGCGCACGGUUCCGCAUGGAACAGUGUGAAAAACUCCGGUGGUGUGAGAUGGACCCGCGUCUGAUUAGCCAGUUGGCGGGGUAACGGCCCACCAAAGCGACGAUCAGUAGCCGGCCUGAGAGGGUGAACGGCCACAUUGGGACUGAGACACGGCCCAA